rnacentral:rRNA from 1 species
GACGAACGCUGGCGGCGUGCUUAACACAUGCAAGUCGAACGGAAAGGCCCUGCUUUUGUGGGGUGCUCGAGUGGCGAACGGGUGAGUAACACGUGAGUAACCUUCCCUUGACUUUGGGAUAACUUCAGGAAACUGGGGCUAAUACCGGAUAGGAGCUCCUGCUGCAUGGUGGGGGUUGGAAAGUUUCGGCGGUUGGGGAUGGACUCGCGGCUUAUCAGCUUGUUGGUGGGGUAGUGGCUUACCAAGGCUUUGACGGGUAGCCGGCCUGAGAGGGUGACCGGCCACAUUGGGACUGAGAUACGGCCCAGACUCCUACGGGAGGCAGCAGGGGGGAAUAUUGCACAAUGGGCGGAAGCCUGAUGCAGCAACGCCGCGUGCGGGAUGACGGCCUUCGGGUUGUAAACCGCUUUCGCCUGUGACGAAGCGUGAGUGACGGUAAUGGGUAAAGAAGCACCGGCUAACUACGUG